rnacentral:lncRNA from 1 species
ACCCAAACAACUUCUUUAUAUAUAUAUAUAUAUAAACUGCCUAUGUAACAUAAAUAUAAACUAUUGUAGCAUAGAGGUCCUCCUACAUCAGUCCAAGAAACACAAUUCUAAUGAGUUUAUUGAUUAAAAGUUAUUUUUGUACUUAAAGAUUGGGGAUUUGAAUAACAUAAAAAUGCAGCAAAGUAAAGACUAAAUUUAGAGUGAAGAAGCAAAUAAAGGAAAACUGCAAAAGGAAGUUGUAAAAUUAUUACAUCAGACUAUACAAAACAAAACAUGAGACAAUUGAGGAAUAUAAAGGACUAAACGAUUCUAGUUGAUGCUUGGGACAACAAUGUAAUAGUGUUUAACAUAAUUUAAUUGUGU